UCUGAAGGGCCAUCUGGCAUCUCUCUGGAAAUAGUCCCUUCCAGGGACACACCUGCAAUCCGGAGCUAGCUGGAGGAGAACUGGGAGACUGCCCUCUCCUGCCUCCCCGCUCCGGGAAGGACCACAGUCAGCCCCAGAGGGAAUUGCUCCAUGUGUAGCUGCAGAUUCAGUGUGUCCGUGGGAGGAGCAUUUAUGAGCAUCGUCCACGUGCCAGGCUCUUUGCCAAGGGAGGCACCAGAGACGUCGCAUUGGGGUGGUCCCAUGGGAGAUCCAGCUCCCUGAAUGAAUUUCCUGCCAGUAGUGGCCCUGAUGUUUGAGGAAUUUUUCUUCAGCUGAU
rnacentral:lncRNA from 1 species